rnacentral:lncRNA from 1 species
UGUAUAAGACAACUGAAAGGGCCAGUCGCAUAGACCACACAACUGCUGUUGCAACAGUAGAGUAGACUUCAGCAGGGAUGUUAUUCACAUUAUACACAUCCACAUGCACAAUCUGUUGAUGCAACUUCCUCCAAACAUCAUUCCAGCAAUCUAUCGGCAUCCGGUCAACAAUAUGACGCUUGAAAACAAUAUCUUUUCUAUUUUCCCCUCCUGUCACAAGCUGUUGAUGCAACUUCCUCCAAACAUCAUUCCAGCAAUCUAUCGGCAUCCGGUCAACAACAUGACGCUUGAAAACAAUCUCCUUUCUAUUUUCCCCUCCAGAGCCUUUUGUUUUU